AAUGCAGUGCCCGAACAGGGCGUUGUAAUUGGAAUGAGAACAAUUUAAAUCCCUUAUCGAUUAACAAUUAGAGGGCAAGUCUGGUGCCAGCAGCCGCGGUAAUUCCAGCUCUAAUAGCGUAUAUUAAAGUUGUUGCAGUUAAAAAGCUCGUAGUUGGAUUUCGGCGUGCGCUCAGGCUGGUCGGCCGUCAAGGUCUGUACCGUUUGGGUCACGCCCCACUGUAGGAUACUCACCGCUGUCCUUAACUGGGUGGCGGUCAAAGGGGGUGUGCAUGGGGGCAACUCUGUGCAUAUCUCUGGGGUUCCUACUCUUUUACUUUGAGCAAAUUAGAGUGUUCAAAGCAGGCAAUCGAGCCUUGAAUACUUCAGCAUGGGAUAAUGGAACAGGACUGGGGUCCUGAUUUCGUUGGUUUCUGGGAUCUCAGUAAUGAUUAAUAGGGAUAGUUGGGGGCAUUAGUAUUUAAUUGUCAGAGGUGAAAUUCUUGGAUUUAUGAAAGACUAACUUCUGCGAAAGCAUUUGCCAAGGAUGUUUUCAUUAAUCAAGAACGAAAGUUAGGGGAUCGAAGACGAUCAGAUACCGUCGUAGUCUUAACCAUAUACGAUGCCGACCAGCGAUUGGGAGACGUUACAUGGAUGACUCCCCCAGCAGCUUGCGAGAAAUCACAAGUCUUUGGGUUCCGGGGGGAGUAUGGUCGCAAGGCUGAAACUUAAAGGAAUUGACGGAAGGGCACCACCAGGAGUGGAGCCUGCGGCUUAAUUUGACCCAACACGGGGAAACUUACCAGGUCCAGACAUAGUAAGGAUUGACAGAUUUGAGAGCUCUUUCUUGAUUCUAUGGGUGGUGGUGCAUGGCCGUUCUUAGUUGGUGGAGUGAUUUGUCUGGUUAGUUCCGUUAACGAACGAGACCUUAACCUGCUAAAUAUGUCACUGGUAGACUUCUGCCAAAACAGGUGGGUGUCUAGGGGAAAGUUUCGAUGGACUCCGACGCAUUCAUCUGUGGAUGACUACCAGGAUGUACUUCUUAGAGGGACUAUCUGUAUCAAAGCAGAUGGAAGUUUGAGGCAAUAACAGGUCUGUGAUGCCCUUAGAUGUUCUGGGCCGCACGCGCGCUACACUGACAAGUUCAACGAGUUUAACACCUUGCUCGAUAGGGCUGGGUAAUCUUUGAAAAACUUGUCGUGAUGGGGAUAGAUCAUUGUAAUUAUUGGUCUUCAACGAGGAAUUCCUAGUAAGCGUGAGUCAUCAGCUCGCGUUGAUUACGUCCCUGCCCUUUGUACACACCGCCCGUCGCUCCUACCGAUUGAAUGAUCCGGUGAAAUGUUGGGAGCUGGGGUCUUUUGGCGGCGGGGCAACUCGUCGUCAGGGAUUCUGCAAACUUCAUUAAACCUUAUCAUUUAGA
rnacentral:rRNA from 1 species